UAGUUUAGUUUGGUUCUUUAGUCAAAUCGUUAAUUAUACUAGAUAU
rnacentral:sRNA from 1 species